rnacentral:rRNA from 1 species
GACGAACGCUGGCGGCGUGCCUAAUACAUGCAAGUCGAACGAGAACGACCGGUGCUUGCACUGGUCAAUCUAGUGGCGAACGGGUGAGUAACACGUGGGUAACCUGCCCAUCAGAGGGGGAUAACAUUCGGAAACGGAUGCUAAAACCGCAUAGGUCUUCGAACCGCAUGGUUUGAAGAGGAAAAGAGGCGCAAGCUUCUGCUGAUGGAUGGACCCGCGGUGCAUUAGCUAGUUGGUGAGGUAACGGCUCACCAAGGCCGUGAUGCAUAGCCGACCUGAGAGGGUGAUCGGCCACAUUGGGACUGAGACACGGCCCAAACUCCUACGGGAGGCAGCAGUAGGGAAUCUUCCGCAAUGGACGCAAGUCUGACGGAGCAACGCCGCGUGAGUGAAGAAGGUUUUCGGAUCGUAAAACUCUGUUGUUAGAGAAGAACAAGUGCUAGAGUAACUGUUAGCGCCUUGACGGUAUCUAACCAGAAAGCCACGGCUAACUACGUGCCAGCAGCCGCGGUAAUACGUAGGUGGCAAGCGUUGUCCGGAUUUAUUGGGCGUAAAGCGAGCGCAGGCGGUUCCUUAAGUCUGAUGUGAAAGCCCCCGGCUCAACCGGGGAGGGUCAUUGGAAACUGGGGGACUUGAGUGCAGAAGAGGAGAGUGGAAUUCCAUGUGUAGCGGUGAAAUGCGUGUAUAUAUGGAGGAACACCCAGUGGCGAAGGCGACUCUCUGGUCUGUGACUGACUCUGGAGGCUCGAAGCGGGGGAGCAAACAGGAUAUAUACCCCUAUUGUCCAAGUGCGAAUCCACGUGGAUAUCCUGCUUAUCGCUGCCCGCGACUACAAGGAGAAGGCACUGUAUGAUUUUUUGUGUUAUUGUGGAUAGUUGAUAUGCUCUGUUUGUUGUUGUUUUUGUGUGGAUGUGUAUGGUGUUGUUUGUGUUCUGUUUGCUGUGCUGUUGGUUUGUUGUGGUGUGUUUUUGUGGUGUGAUUGUAUUGCUGCCUGUGUUGUUGUUGUGUUUUGUGCUGUUAGUUGUGGUGUGUGUUGUUGCUGUGAUGUGUGUGAGUCUAGUUGUAUGUGCUGCUGAUUGUGUGUGUUUUUUGUGCGCUUUGUGUGUGUUGUCUGCGUGUGUAUGGUGUGUUGUUGUGUUUGUUGUGUCUGUUGGUUUGUUAGUGAUGUGAUGUUAGUGUAUUUUUGUUGAUGGUUAUUGCUAUGUUGUGUGUUGUGUUUUGCUAGUGUUCGGUGUGUUGUUCGUAUGUGUGUUGUA